rnacentral:miRNA from 1 species
CGUCCUCUUCGCUAGUCCUUCC